CUUUGGGAUAACCCUCGGAAACGGGGGCUAAUACCGGAUAUUACUUCUCGCCGCAUGGUGGGGGGUGGAAAGUUUUUCGGCUUGGGAUGGGCUCGCGGCCUAUCAGCUUGUUGGUGGGGUGAUGGCCUACCAAGGCGACGACGGGUAGCCGGCCUGAGAGGGCGACCGGCCACACUGGGACUGAGACACGGCCCAGACUCCUACGGGAGGCAGCAGUGGGGAAUAUUGCACAAUGGGCGGAAGCCUGAUGCAGCGACGCCGCGUGAGGGAUGACGGCCUUCGGGUUGUAAACCUCUUUCAGCAGGGACGAAGCGUUUGUGACGGUACCUGCAGAAGAAGCGCCGGCCAACUACGUGCCAGCAGCCGCGGUAAGACGUAGGGCGCGAGCGUUGUCCGGAUUUAUUGGGCGUAAAGAGCUCGUAGGCGGCUUGUCGCGUCGGCUGUGAAAACCCAUGGCUCAACUGUGGGCUUGCAGCCGAUACGGGCAGGCUAGAGUUCGGUAGGGGAGACUGGAAUUCCUGGUGUAGCGGUGAAAUGCGCAGAUAUCAGGAGGAACACCGGUGGCGAAGGCGGGUCUCUGGGCCGAUACUGACGCUGAGGAGCGAAAGCGUGGGGAGCGAACAGGAUUAGAUACCCUGGUAGUCCACGCUGUAAACGUUGGGCGC
rnacentral:rRNA from 1 species